GUCACUUUUCACGUUAUUGGAAUUGUCUUGAAUCUUCCGCGUCGGCAGACAGUACACCAAGCAUGGCAGAAUUUGGCCCUCCUGACGAAGGCUAAUUGCAUGGGUUCUUUUCAAAUUCCGAGGUCAUUAGUUGAGUUAAAAAAUAGACUUGUCCAAUUUCUUCUAGAUAAUAUGGCUGUAAAAUUUCUGUGAGCGUUUCAUAAGCUGAUUUUCAGUUACAA